GACGAACGCUGGCGGCGUGCUUAACACAUGCAAGUCGAACGGAAAGGCCCUGCUUUUGUGGGGUGCUCGAGUGGCGAACGGGUGAGUAACACGUGAGUAACCUGCCCUUGACUUUGGGAUAACUUCAGGAAACUGGGGCUAAUACCGGAUAGGAGCUCCUGCUGCAUGGUGGGGGUUGGAAAGUUUCGGCGGUUGGGGAUGGACUCGCGGCUUAUCAGCUUGUUGGUGGGGUAGUGGCUUACCAAGGCUUUGACGGGUAGCCGGCCUGAGAGGGUGACCGGCCACAUUGCGACUGAGAUACGGACCAGACGCCUACGGGAGGCAGCAGUGGGGAAUAUGGCACAAUGGGCGGAAGCCUGAUGCAGCAACGCUGCGUGCGGGAUGACGGCCUUCGGGGUGUAAACCGCUUUCGACUGUGACGAAGCGUGAGUGACGGUAAUGGGUAAAGAAGCACCGGCUAACUACGUG
rnacentral:rRNA from 1 species